GCAUAUCAAUAAGCGGAGGAAAAAGAAACCAACAGGGAUUGCCCUAGUAACGGCGAGUGAAGCGGCAACAGCUCAAAAUUUGAAAAUCUGGCGCAAGCCCGAGUUGUAAUUUGUAGAGGAUGCUUCUGGGUAGCGACCGAUCUAAGUUCCUUGGAACAGGACGUCAUAGAGGGUGAGAAUCCCGUAUGUGACCGGCCCGCACCCUUUACGUAGCUCCUUCGACGAGUCGAGUUGUUUGGGAAUGCAGCUCUAAAUGGGAGGUAAAUUUCUUCUAAAGCUAAAUACCGGCCAGAGACCGAUAGCGCACAAGUAGAGUGAUCGAAAGAUGAAAAGUACUUUGGAAAGAGAGUUAAAAAGCACGUGAAAUUGUUGAAAGGGAAGCGCCUGCAACCAGACUUCGCGGCAGUGUUCCGCCGGUCUUCUGACCGGUUCAUUCUCUGUCGCGAGGCCAUCAUCGUCUGGGCCCGCCGGAUAAGACCUGAGGAAUGUGGCUCCCCCUCGGGGGGAGUGUUAUAGCCUCUGGUGAUGCGGCGUGGCUCGGGCGAGGUCCGCGCUUCGGCAAGGAUGAUGGCGUAAUGGUUGUCGGCGGCCCGUCUUGAAACACGGACCAAGGAGUCUAACAUCUAUGCGAGUGUUCGGGUGUCAAACCCCUACGCGUAAUGAAAGUGAAACGGAGGUGGGGAACCGCAAGGUGCACCAUCGACCGAUCCUGAUGUCCUCGGAUGGAUUUGAGUAAGAGCAUAGCUGUUGGGACCCGAAAGAUGGUGAACUAUGCCUGAAUAGGGUGAAGCCCAGAGGAAACUCUGGUGGAGGCUCGCAGCGGUUCUGACGUGCAAAUCGAUCGUCAAAUUUGGGUAUAGGGGGCGAAAGACUAAUCGAAACCAUCUAGUAGCUGGGUUCUGCGA
rnacentral:rRNA from 1 species